rnacentral:rRNA from 1 species
AGUAAUGUCUGGGAAACUGCCUGAUGGAGGGGGGAGUAACUACUGGAAACGGUAGCUAAUACCGCAUAACGUCGCAAGACCAAAGAGGGGGACCUUCGGGCCUCUUGCCAUCAGAUGUGCCCAGAUGGGAUUAGCUAGUAGGUGGGGUAACGGCUCACCUAGGCGACGAUCCCUAGCUGGUCUGAGAGGAUGACCAGCCACACUGGAACUGAGACACGGUCCAGACUCCUACGGGGAGGCAGCAUG